rnacentral:tRNA from 1 species
GCCUGGAUAGCUCAGUUGGUUAGAGUGUGGUGCUAAUAAUGCCAAGACUGCAGGUUUGAUUCCCAUAUGGGGCA